rnacentral:rRNA from 1 species
UACAGAGGUCUCAAGCGUUGUUCGGAUUCAUUGGGCGUAAAGGGUGCGUAGGUGGCGCCGUAAGUCAGGUGUGAAAUUUCGGAGCUUAACUCCGAAACUGCAUUUGAUACUGCGGUGCUUGAGGACUGGAGAAGAGACUGGAAUUCACGGUGUAGCAGUGAAAUGCGUAGAUAUCGUGAGGAAGACCAGUGGCGAAGGCGGGUCUCUGGACAGUUCCUGACACUGAGGCAGCGAAGGCCAGGGGAGCAAAACGGG